UCUUUCUCUCUCUGCCUUUCUCUUUCUUUAUCUUUAUAUAUAUUUCCUUCUAGGGUAUAAAUCGAUUCAAUGCAGGAUAUCAUCAAGUCGAUCUCCCACGACUUCAACAGUAAAACUUAUUUUUCCCCAACGCAUUUCACAAUCAAUUUAGAAAACUCGUUUAAAUCAUUGAUGACAGAUACCGAAACGUUUGCCCGUACACGGAUAUGCAAUUGCGGAUUUAAAUAACCGUUGUACGUUUUCUAACAAUCUAGAGUGGGCUGGACAUGGAUGUGUUUGUUGGGAAAUCUGGGAGAGUCACAAACAACAAAAAUGCAUUAGGUCUGCGACACAAACAUGGGCCAAACGAGAGCUGACAAAGCGAGGAAGCCACAACAAGACCUGCGGCAAUUUCCGAGCCUUCUGAUGAUAUUGACAUUUAUGCUCGGCAGAUAGUCCCCAGCCCGCACGGCCUUUAGCCGACAACCAACAGCCGACAGCCGACACAGUCACCCUGCUCCCAGUCCUCAGCUGGGCUUUUGUUUUUUGGUAGCUUCAUCUUUUUUAACCAAAAUGCUGGGCACUGUUUUUGUUGACACUUGACAGCACCUGCCGCCUGCCUGCCAGCCUGCCAGCCUACCACUCUGUGGGUGGCCCUCUCCAGGCCUGCUUUAGUGUGAAUACAGGGCACAUUUUGAGGCUAUGAAUGAUUCUAUGUAGCACUGCGCAUUAGAAUCGAGUUGAACGUGAAAUGACGCAGUUUGCAGCGUCGAGCACAACAACACAUGACCACAAUAAUAAGGCCAUAUUUGUUUAGUGCCCAUAAAGAGCUGGACACAGCAAGCCGCCCCCGCGGUCAUCGGACAACUUGUUGAAAUCUACGUCGUAACAUGAAGGAAUCGUAGAGCGAGAACACACCAGAGUCCGUGUCCAAUCAAUGCCAACUGGCUUUUGUUUGCAUUUCAAUUUCAGCUGGUGCCACUUCUUCUGUUGCCCGACUCUGGUGCCAUUUAAAAAUCAACGCAAAGUGCCUUCAUUAUGCGAUUCUGGACCGUUGCAAUGCCAAGGGCUAGCAUAUUUAUAUGUGCGUUCAACCGUGAAAGCUCCCACAAAAGGCGUAACAAUCAGGCCGGCGUAUAAAAAAAGAAUAUAGAUAUAUAUUUUUAUCUAAAUAUAUAUGUAUGUAUA